rnacentral:lncRNA from 1 species
AGCUGCCCACAUGAUUGACUUAUUUUACCUGCGAGUCUACCCAACAAAUAUUUGUGUCCGAGCUGCUUAGUGGUACUCGCCAUUAUCGUCAGU